UACGUAGGGCGCAAGCGUUGUCCGGAAUUAUUGGGCGUAAAGAGCUCGUAGGCGGUCUGUUACGUCCGCUGUGAAAACCCAGGGCUUAACCCUGGGCUUGCAGUGGAUACGGGUAGACUAGAGGCAGGUAGGGGAGAAUGGAAUUCCCGGUGUAGCGGUGAAAUGCGCAGAUAUCAGGAAGAACACCAAUGGCGAAGGCAGCUCUCUGGGACGGUACUGACACUGAGACGCGAAAGCGUGGGGAGCGAACAGG
rnacentral:rRNA from 1 species